rnacentral:hammerhead_ribozyme from 1 species
AUCUAGCUGAGGAGUCCCAGAUAGGACGAAAUGCGCGUGCUAGAU